AAACCAUGGUGAGGGCACAUCCUCACAAGUUCUUCAAAUCAUUCACACGCUUAAAAUUGGGAUUCUGACUCAUACUACUGAAAACAUAAAAUUUUUAUCAUAAGCUU